rnacentral:rRNA from 1 species
GAUACCCUGGUAGUCCACGCCGUAAACGAUGAUUACUAGGUGUCGGUGGGUAUGGACCCAUCGGUGCCGGAGCAAACGCAUUAAGUAAUCCACCUGGGGAGUACGUUCGCAAGAAUGAAACUCAAAGGAAUUGACGGGGGCCCGCACAAGCAGUGGAUUAUGUGGUUUAAUUCGACGCAACGCGAAGAACCUUACCAGGACUUGACAUCCUACUAACGAAGUAGAGAUACAUUAGGUGCCCUUCGGGGAAAGUUGAGACAGGUGGUGCAUGGUUGUCGUCAGCUCGUGUCGCGAGAUGUUGGGUUAAGUCCCGCAACGAGCGCAACCCCUAUUGUUAGUUGCUACGAAAGAGCACUCUAGAGGGACUGCCGUUGACAAAACGGAGGAAGGUGGGGAUGACGUCAAAUCAUCAUGCCCCUUAUGACCUGGGCUACACACGUACUACAAUGGCAAUUAACAGAGGGAAGCAAAACAGCGAUGUGGAGCGAAUCCCGAAAAAUUGUCUCAGUUCAGGUUGCAGGCUGCAACUCGCCUGCAUGAAGUCGGAAUUGCUAGUAAUCGCAGAUCAGAAUGCUGCGGUGAAUACGUUCCCGGGCCUUGUACACACCGCCCGUCACACCAUGGGAGUCGGUAACACCCGAAGCCUGUAGUCUAACCUUUAAGGGGGACGCAGUCGAAGGUGGGAUUGAUGACUGGGGUGAAGUCGUAACAAGGUACC